UACAGAGGUCCCAAGCGUUGUUCGGAUUCAUUGGGCGUAAAGGGUGCGUAGGCGGCGCGGUAAGUCGGGUGUGAAAUCUCGGAGCUUAACUCCGAAACUGCACUCGAUACUGCCGUGCUUGAGGACUGGAGAGGAGACUGGAAUUUACGGUGUAGCGGUGAAAUGCGUAGAUAUCGAGAGGAACACCAGCGGCGAAGGCGGGUAGCUGGGCCGACACUGACGCUGAGGCGCGAAAGCCAGGGGAGCAAACGGG
rnacentral:rRNA from 1 species